AAGCCUUCUGAAAUUGUAUGGUAGCCCUCUCAACUACAGCAUGUGCUGUGGUAUAUGUUGUGAUAGUUUUCAUUCACAGAUUCAUUCUUACUGCCUCUACUGCUGCUGAUCUGCUGCUUCUAGCCAUGCUAAGCAUCCUAUCCAUGAAUCCUAUUCAAAUAUCUUAAUGAUCUAUUUCAGACCUAAAAGUAGGUGUAUCUGGGCUAGAACCCAGCAGGCUUUUGUGGGUCUAAGAGGCAGAGAUGUCACCUGACCUCAGGUGAGUGCUGUUCAUUUUCUAACACCCACAGUGGUUUGCUGUGUGACUUUAAUCCAGUUACUUUUCUGCAUCCUGGUCUUUGCCACAUGCAAACAGUGAGAAUACUACCUCCUGGGCUUUGAGAGCUCUAAACAAAAUUUGAUAGCCCUUCUUACAUGCAAAGGUCACAAAAGAAGGAGUGACACUCUCCUUAGUUAAGUGCUUAAACAGCAGGUUUGCUUUGGUGGCCCAUAAGCCACAUUUGCAUAAAUCAACAAAGGGGAUUUAGACAAAGAAGGAAGAAACCAAUGCAGGAUGAAGGUAAGCUUUCUGUACUUGAGAAUGUUUCUCCCCCUGUGAGAUAUGCUAUGCUAUGCUAUGCUAUAUAUUAUCACUGUCAUUGAAAGGGGUGUGUAUAAGAACUUGAAAGACCAAAUCAGCUUGUCUCUAAUUUUUUCCAUAUAUCACAGUCCUGCAGGUGACUUUAUUCCUAAAGUGCUGGGCUAUGCUGCUCUUGAAGCCUCCUGCUCCCCCUUGCUCCCAAGACCUACUUCUGGACUAAAGUGCUGCAUCAGGAUUAAUCACCUGCCUAAAACACUUGUUAAAAAGAGGAAAAUCAUCUUAAAAAGCCAGAACAUGAAAGAUCUGAAUUCUAUGGUUUUUUCCUCCAUCUUCAGCUGUUUACCAUCAUCCUGCCAGAUGAGAUAAAAUACCUCCUCAAAUAUAGAAGAAUCCAGGAAAAGGUAAAAGUCAGACAUUGUAAGGUCAAUGGGUCAUCUGGUCAAGUCCUGCUUGAAAGCAACUGCUGCAAAGGCAUGAAGAAAGGUUUCACAAUGAGAAAAAUACGCAGUCUAUGUUUUGUGAGUAGUUGGCUCUUGGUGAUUAUGUUGCAUUAAACCCUGAAGCAUACAUUUUCCAAGGUAUUUGUUUAUUAUUUCUUUUAGCAACAGCCACAUGACAGCACUAUGACCUAUUUUCUACUGAACAUGUUGCAUAAAGUGCUUGUUCAAUAACAUAUGCAUUGAUACUUGCAUUCUAAAGACCUAAUGUGACACAGUGCAGUACCUCACCAAGUUUUCAAAGUGAGGAUCACUUUAAAAUCCAGAAUUAAAGUCAGGAUUCAUGAAGAUAAGUACAUUUACGGACAUGGUAUUAUGGACUUUCUAAAAUGCCUUUACUUUAGAACACAUAUCUUUCCCCCAUGCAUCGUUUCCAAAGUAAUUUUCAUGGAAUUACUUUUAAAAGCAAAAUCUGCCUGCAUGAAAUUCAUUAUUCAAAUCAUAUUUUCUUCCUAGAAGCCACAUAAAAUCAGUCACUGGCAGAGUCAUUCUUUCUUUGUUACAAAUACUAGGCCUGCAUAAGAUAUCCUGAUGAAUAGCACUAUUUUCAUGAGCUUUGGUAGAAAGCACUCUUUCCUUGCAUCCUGUGACAUUUCACAAUAUUGAUUUUCUCCACUAUUCUUCAUUUUAAAUCAUUAAAAAGUACAGUCUUUGAAGGAGAGAUGAAACUGCUGUCCUUUCUCUGGCCAGUUGAUUUUCUUUUAUAUUGUCUUCUAUACAGAAGACAACAAACUUCUCAGCCUUUGCUUUUAAUAAUUCCACAUACCCAUGCCUUUUUUUAUCUUAGCCAUUCUCCCCUGACCCUGCAGGUGUUAUUCUAGUCAUCCAGCAGUUCAGCUCUGUGAUUGCUAAAUUCACUAGCUUUCCAGUCACAAAUGCAAACUAGGUUUGUUCUCACACACAGAGAGUGUGAAGCUCCAGCAGGGAGAACACGGGGACUUGCAAUAGUCACUCUUUGACUGACAGUAUUUUGACCAGUAGCCUGGCAGACAUGGAUUACCUAGGAAGCUGAUCUGCCUUCAGG